rnacentral:tRNA from 1 species
CCCCUGGUGGUCUAGUGGUUAGGAUGCGGCGCCCUCACCGCUGCGGCCCGGGUUCGAUUCCCGGUCAGGGAA